CAAAAUGAAAUUACUUAACAAGGCCGGCGCGAAAAGAAAGUUAAAACGAAGUUGAAAAGAGAAAAAUAUUAACCGGCAGGUGAAGCGUGAAAAAGGCCGUCUAAAAGUUUCGAUCAAAAGGCAGUGUCGGAGCGAUCGACGUUGGGAGAGAGAUUGCUGUGGCUUUCUAUCUCAGAACAUUGGUUGUUCGGAAUGCUAUAAUAAUCCCAAAUUAAGGUCCUCUUCACGAAGCAGUGAAAGAUCAGAAACAUCAAUAUCAGGUGAUUCAUAAAGCUAAACUAUUGGAGGACUUUUGAACAGCCAGCACGUGUGGCAUGGACAAAAGUGUAGGUAAGUCUCAGGACUACACCUCUGGAACCAAAGCAGAGAGCAGUGGAUAGGACACAAGAAGCUUGUCAACCAACCACAACAGCUCCGUGAACCUAAAUUAAAUUGGAAUGCUACGUAUGAUAGUUUGUUUGGGAGCAACAAGCUGUUUCCCAUGUCUAUCCCGCUUGCUGAAAUGGUAGAUUUCCUAAUGGAUUUUUGGGAGCUGGAAGGACUGUACGAUUGACAUGUUUGUAAGUAAAGGAUUAUUUUAUCGAUGAAUGAUGAACAGUCAAGUAGUGACAGACACUUAGAUAGGCUGAUGUAAAUUUGAUUUGCUUCGUGACUGGGAAGGUAGGAGGUUACUAAUGGAGUUUCUCUAAUGAAAUGUAAUUAACUUCUGGCAAAUUGAAACAUUUUGUACUGAUAAAGGCGUGUUUAGACAAGAAUUAAUUGAUAUUUUAAAGAAAAUAUUUGCAAGUUGA